rnacentral:misc_RNA from 1 species
UGGCUCUGGCAUCGAUGAAGAACGCAGCGAAAUGCGAUAAGUAAUGUGAAUUGCAGAACUCAGUGAAUCAUCGAAUCUUUGAACGCACAUUGCGCCCUCUGGUACUCCGGAGGGCAUGCCUGUUCGAGCGUCAUUACACCACUCCCGCCCCGCGGGGUAUUGGGCGUCGCGGCCGCCGCGCGCCUCGAAGUCCCCCGGCCGGGCCCGUCGUCCCCGAGCGUUGUGGAACACCUGUUCGCUCGCGGGAGGAGGGGCGCCGUGCCGUCAAAACACUCUCCAAAGGUUGACCUCGGAUCAGGUGGGGAUACCCGCUGA